rnacentral:rRNA from 1 species
UACGGAGGGUGCAAACGUUGCUCGGAAUUAUUGGGCGUAAAGCGCACGUAGGCGGCCGAAUAAGUCGGAUGUGAAAGCCCUGGGCUCAACCCAGGAAGUGCACUCGAAACUGCUCGGCUUGAGUAUGGAAGAGGGUUGCGGAAUUCCCGGUGUAGAGGUGAAAUUCGUAGAUAUCGGGAGGAACACCAGUGGCGAAGGCGGCAACCUGGGCCAAUACUGACGCUGAGGUGCGAAAGCGUGGGGAGCAAACAGG